GGCGAACGCUGGCGGCAGGCUUAACACAUGCAAGUCGAACGCCCCGCAAGGGGAGUGGCAGACGGGUGAGUAACACGUGGGAACGUACCCUUUGGUUCGGAAUAACUCGGGGAAACUCAAGCUAAUACCGGAUAGGCCCUAACGGGGAAAGGUUUACUGCCGAAGGAUCGGCCCGCGUCUGAUUAGCUAGUUGGUGAGGUAAUGGCUCACCGAGGCGACGAUCAGUAGCUGGUCUGAGAGGAUGAUCAGCCACACUGGGACUGAGACACGGCCCAGACUCCUACGGGAGGCAGCAGUGGGGAAUAUUGCACAAUGGGCGCAAGCCUGAUGCAGCAACGCCGCGGGAGGGAUGAAGGCCUUCGGGUUGUAAACCUCUUUUAGCAGGGAAGAAGCGAAAGUGACGGUACCUGCAGAAAAAGCACCGGCUAACUACGUGCCAGCCGCCGCAGUAA
rnacentral:rRNA from 1 species